rnacentral:rRNA from 1 species
AUUGAACGCUGGCGGCAUGCCUUACACAUGCAAGUCGAACGGCAGCACGGACUUCGGUCUGGUCGCGAGUGGCGAACGGGUGAGUAAUACAUCGGAACGUACCCAGUAAUGGGGGAUAACUAUCCGAACGGAUAGCUAAUAACGCAUACGCCCUACGGGGGCAAGAGGGGGAUCGGAAGACCUCUUGAUACUGGAGCCGCCGAUGGCUGAGUAGCAAGUUGGUUGGGUAAAGGCCUAGCAAGGCAAGGGUCAGUAGCGGGUCUUAGAGGACGAUCCGCCACACUGGAGCUGAGACACGGUCCAGACUCCUACGGGAGGCAGCAGUGGGGAAUCUUGGACAAUGGGCGCAAGCCUGAGCCAGCAAUGCCGCGUGCGUGAAGAAGGCCUUCGGGUUGUAAAGCGCUUUUGUCAGGGAGCAAAUCCUUGUGGCUAAUACCCACCGGGGAUGAGAGUACCUGAAGAAUAAGGACCGGCUAACUACGUGCCAGCCGCCGCGGUAAUAC